GCGGGGAUGGCGGAACUGGUAGACGCGCAAGGUUGAGGUCCUUGUGGUGAUAAGCUGUGCAGGUUCAAGUCCUGUUCUCCGCA
rnacentral:tRNA from 1 species